rnacentral:rRNA from 1 species
CGAAAGCAGGGAUAACCACAUAAGACGAGAAGACCCUGUGGAACUUCAAAAACAGCAACCACCCUAAUAUACAUUCACACCCACCCCGGGCUCACUUAUCCAUAAAGCACUGGUUAGCAUUUUUUCGGUUGGGGCGACCUUGGAGCAAAACAAAACCUCCAAAAACUGGACCAUCCCUCCAGACUGAGAGCAACCCCUCAACGUGCCAAAAGCACCCAGACCCAAUACAAUUGAUCAAUGGACCAAGCUACCCCAGGGAUAACAGCGCAAUCUCCCCCGAGAGUCCAUAUCGACGGGGAGGUUUACGACCUCGAUGUUGGAUCAGGACAUCCUAGUGGUGCAGGAGCUACUAAGGGUUCGUUUGUUCAACGAUUAACAGUCCUACGUGAUCUGAGUUCAGACCGGAGCAAUCCAGGUCGGUUUCUAUCUAUGAUGAACUCUUCCUCGUACGAAAGGAUCGGAAAAGUGAGGCCAAUACCACAAGCAAGCCUUCGCCUUAAGUAAUGAAGCCAACUGAAUUACAAAAGGCUAUCACACCCCACAACGUCCAAGAAAAGG